AAGUAACUAAAUAAGUCUAGGUUUACUUUUGGCAAUUAAGCAUUAUCAAUUACUCAUUAGAAUUUUAUGUCAAUUUGUAGUGGGAAAGUGGGUCUCACAUACCUAUUUCAUAUAAUUUAGUGUUUAGCAACAUAUUAGGGUUAAAACCCUAUCAUAAAAUAAUUUGUCUUAUGAAUCUUUCUUUAGGUUCAGUUUUAAUGUCUUAAUUUUACCUAUCAAUUUAAUCAAUUUGUGGCCACUGUUUAGCCACACUUCUUUCAUGGAAGUUGUUCCCCUAUGUUUUAUCUUUAUUUUAUUUUUUGAAUAAUGCCAAUUUGAUUUUUAGAACUCAAGUUAUGGUCACAUAACCAUAACUGACUAAUUUCCAUAUUCU
rnacentral:misc_RNA from 1 species